rnacentral:rRNA from 1 species
AAACUUUCAACAACGGAUCUCUUGGCUCUGGCAUCGAUGAAGAACGCAGCGAAAUGCGAUAAGUAAUGUGAAUUGCAGAAUCCAGUGAAUCAUCGAAUCUUUGAACGCACAUUGCGCCCGCCAGCAUUCUGGCGGGCAUGCCUGUCCGAGCGUCAUUU